rnacentral:rRNA from 1 species
AUUGAACGCUGGCGGCAUGCUUUACACAUGCAAGUCGAACGGUAACAGGCCGCAAGGUUCUGCCGAGUGGCGAACGGGUGAGUAAUGCAUCGGAACGUGCCCAGUCGUGGGUUAUAACUACGCGAAAGGGUAGCUAAUACCGCAUACUAUCUAUGGCUGAAAGCGGGUGACCGUAAGGCCUCUCGCGAUUGGAGCGGCCGAUGUCAGAUUAGGUAGUUGGUGGGGUAAAGGCUCACCAAGCCAACGAUCUGUAGCUGGUCUGAGAGGACAAUCAGCCACACUGGAACUGAGACACGGCCCAGACUCCUACGGGAGGCAGCAGUGGGGAAUAUUGGACAAUGGGCGCAAGCCUGAUCCAGCAAUGCCGCGUGGAGGAAGAAGGCCUUCGGGUUGUAAAGUGCUUUUGUACGGAAAGAAAAGGCUCUGGUUAAUACCCGGGGCUAAUGACGGUACCGAAAGAAUAAGCACCGGCUAACUACGUG